rnacentral:rRNA from 1 species
GAUGAACGCUGGCGGCGUGCCUAACACAUGCAAGUCGAGCGAGAUGUAUAUGGGCGAAACUUCGGUCUAGGAAAUAUAUUGACAGCGGCGGACGGGUGAGUAACGCGUAGGCAACCUGCCCUUAACACAGGGAUAGCCUCGGGAAACCGGGAUUAAAACCUGAUAAUGCCAAAUAGUCACAUGGCUGUUUGGCCAAAGAUUUAUCGGUUAAGGAUGGGCCUGCGUCUGAUUAGUUUGUUGGUGGGGUAACGGCCUACCAAGACUACGAUCAGUAGCCGACCUGAGAGGGUGAUCGGCCACAUUGGAACUGAGACACGGUCCAAACUCCUACGGGAGGCAGCAGUGGGGAAUAUUGCACAAUGGGCGAAAGCCUGAUGCAGCAACGCCGCGUGAGCGAUGAAGGCCUUUGGGUCGUAAAGCUCUGUCCUUGGGGAAGAAACAAAUGACGGUACCCACAGAAGAAGCCCCGGCUAACUCCGUGCCAGCCGCCGCCGUAAUAC